rnacentral:rRNA from 1 species
GACAGAGGGUGCAAACGUUGUUCGGAAUUACUGGGCGUAAAGCGCGUGUAGGCGGCCCUGCAAGUCGGGUGUGAAAUCCCACGGCUCAACCGUGGAAGUGCACUCGAAACUGCAGGGCUAGAGUCCUGGAGAGGAAGGUGGAAUGCUUGGUGUAGAGGUGAAAUUCGUAGAUAUCAAGCGGAACACCGGUGGCGAAGGCGGCCCUCUGGGACAGUGACUGACGCUGAGGAGCGAAAGCCAGGGG